AUUGAACGCUGGCGGCAAGCCUACCACAUGCAAGUCGAACGAGUGGCGGACGGGUGAGUAAUGACUGGGAAACUGCCUGAUGGAGGGGGAUAACUACUGGACACGGUAGCUAAUACCGCAUACCAUCGGAUGUGCCCAGAUGGGAUUAGCGAGUAGGUGGGGUAAAGGCUCACCUAGGCGACGAUCCCUAGCUGGUCUGAGAGGAUGACCAGCCACCAUGGAACGGAGACACGGUGCAGACUCCUACGUGAUGCAGCAGUGGGGAAUAUUGCACAAUGGGCGCAAGCCUGAUGCAGCCAUGCCGCGUGUAUGAAGAAGGCCUUCGGGUUGUAAAGUACUUUCAGCGGGGAGGCGUUACCCGCAGAAGAAGCACCGGCUAACUCCGUGCCAGCAGCCGCGGUAAUUC
rnacentral:rRNA from 1 species